rnacentral:rRNA from 1 species
UUACGGGAGGCAGCAGUAAGGAAUAUUGGUCAAUGGACGCAAGUCUGAACCAGCCAUGCCGCGUGGAGGAUGAAGGUCCUCUGGAUUGUAAACUUCUUUUAUCUGGGACGAAAAAGGGUCUUUCUAGAUCAACUGACGGUACCAGAUGAAUAAGCACCGGCUAACUCCGUGCCAGCAGCCGCGGUAAUACGGAGGGUGCAAGCGUUAUCCGGAUUCACUGGGUUUAAAGGGUGCGUAGGCGGGCAUGUAAGUCCGUGGUGAAAUCUCCGAGCUUAACUCGGAAACUGCCAUGGAUACUAUGUGUCUUGAAUGUUGUGGAGGUGAGCGGAAUAUGUCAUGUAGCGGUGAAAUGCUUAGAUAUGACAUAGAACACCAAUUGCGAAGGCAGCUCACUACACAAAUAUUGACGCUGAGGCACGAAAGCGUGGGGAUCAAACAGGAUUAGAUACCCCGGUAGU